rnacentral:rRNA from 1 species
GGGUCAGUAGGUUGGUCGUGCCACCGGUACGUACUGGUCUCACUGUUUCCUCCUUCCUGAUGAACCGUAAUGCCAUUAAUUUGGUGUUGCGGGGAAACAGGACUGUUACUUUGAAAAAAUUAGAGUGUUUAAAGCAAGCUAACGCUUGAAUACAUUAGCAUGGAAUAAUGAAAUAGGACGAUCGAUCCUAUUUUGUUGGUUUCUAGGAUUGACGUA